UACGUAGGGGGCUAGCGUUGUCCGGAUUUAUUGGGCGUAAAGAGUUGCGUAGGUGGCAGAGUAAGUUGGUAGUGAAAUCCUGGGGCUCAACCCUUUAAACAUUAUCAAAACUGCUCAGCUAGAGGACGAGAGAGGUCACUGGAAUUACUAGUGUAGGAGUGAAAUCCGUAGAUAUUAGUAGGAACACCGAUGGCGUAGGCAGGUGACUGGCUUGUUCCUGACACUAAGGCACGAAAGCGUGGGGAGCGAACGGG
rnacentral:rRNA from 1 species